UACGUAGGUGGCAAGCGUUGUCCGGAUUUAUUGGGUUUAAAGGGUGCGUAGGCGGCCUAUUAAGUCAGUGCUGAAAUAUCCCGGCUUAACCGGGAGGGUGGCAUGGAUACUGAUGGGCUUGAGUGGAGUCGAGGUAGGCGGAAUUGACGGUGUAGCGGUGAAAUGCUUAGAUAUCGUCAAGAACACCGAUAGUGUAGACAGCUUACUAGGCUCAAACUGACGCUGAGGCACGAAAGUGUGGGGAGCAAACAGG
rnacentral:rRNA from 1 species